rnacentral:rRNA from 1 species
UACGAGGGGGGGCAAGCUUGUUCGGAAUUAUUGGGCGGUAAAGGGCGCGUAGGCGGCGCGAUCAGUCAGAUGUGAAAGCCCCGGGCUACAACCCUGGGAACUGCAAUUUGAUACUGUCGCGCUUGAGUUCCGGAGAGGAUGGUGGAAUUCCCAGUGUAGAGGUGAAAUUCGUAGAUAUUGGGAAGAACACCGGUGGCGAAGGCGGCCAUCUGGACGGACACUGACGCUGAGGCGCGAAAGCGUGGGGAGCAACAGG